UGUGUCCAUGAUGUUCUACCUACAUUGUUUGAUACUGGGUGAGAAAAAUUUUGAUCCUGAGACACA